rnacentral:rRNA from 1 species
UACGAAGGGUGCAAGCGUUACUCGGAAUUACUGGGCGUAAAGGGGUGCGUAGGUGGUUGUUUAAGUCUGCUGUGAAAGCCCCGGGCUCAACCUGGGAAAUGGCAGUGGAUACUGGACAGCUAGAGUGCGGUAGAGGGUAGUGGAAUUCCCGGUGUAGCAGUGAAAUGCGUAGAGAUCGGGAGGAACACCAGUGGCGAAGGCGGCUACCUGGACCAGCACUGACACUGAAGCACGAAAGCGUGGGGAGCAAACAGGG